rnacentral:tRNA from 1 species
CCGUGUGUAGCUCAGGCUGGGGGAGCGCCCCGUUCGGGUCGGGGAGGCCGGCGGUUCGAAUCCGUCCACACGGACCG